rnacentral:sRNA from 1 species
CUGUAUAAAAUACAUAUGCCACAUUGCGUGAAAUUAUAUAUACGUUCACACGUAUACUAUAUAUUAACGCAUAUGACGGUUCCGUGGUAUGUUACACGCUUGUCGUAUAAUCUAUAUUGCGGUCCGUUUAAAUAUUGUCUAACGACACACGUUGAUAUAUCUCAUAUUUAUAUAUCAUACGACAAUGUUAGAGAUUUGUUUGAUAAUAUUUGUCGAACGAUCGACGGUGUUACCGCUGACGCGCUCUACGGCGUAAGGCGGGACGCUUUCGACUCUUCGAGUUUGACGUGUUAUGUAACUAUAACACGCCGCAAUACGAGAGGGUUGAUAAACGUGUUCAACGCCGUUCACAUGUCGCGAGACUCUUAAUUAAUAUUAAUCACACAAUCUCUAAUACAACAAUUGACGUAUACACAAAGAUAUAUAAAUAAGCCUUAAAUCAUCGACAGUAGGCGGACUCGACGUCCGAAGAGCGCAGCGCAUCGACGCCGUCGUCGUUAUCGAUCGUUAUUAUUGUAAAAAAUGUAACGUGUCGUAGCGGUUGCGUCGUCGUAACGCUGACGGAUAUCGCGUCUGCCUCAUUUUUUUAUCGUUGGCCUCAGAUCAGGGAGGAUCACCCGCCGAAUUUAAGCAUAUUAGUAAGCGGAGGAAAAGAAACUAACUAGGAUUUCCUCAGUAGCGGCGAGCGAACAGGAAAGAAGCCCAGCACUGAAUCCCGCCGUUGUUCAGGCGGCGGGAGAUGUGGUGUUCGGGAGGUUCCGCUUUCUCGUCGCGAUCGCUCCUGUCCAAGUUCGUCUUGAACGGGGCCGUUUUCCCGUAGAGGGUGCCAGGCCCGUAGCGACGGAGGAACGCGGCGAGAGGGACUCUCCUUAGAGUCGGGUUGCUUGAGAGUGCAGCCCUAAGUGGGUGGUAA